rnacentral:rRNA from 1 species
GGUGGAGCAUGUGGUUUAAUUCGAAGCAACGCGAAGAACCUUACCAGGCCUUGACAUGCAGAGAACUUUCCAGAGAUGGAUUGGUGCCUUCGGGAACUCUGACACAGGUGCUGCAUGGCUGUCGUCAGCUCGUGUCGUGAGAUGUUGGGUUAAGUCCCGUAACGAGCGCAACCCCUGUCCUUAGUUACCAGCACGUUAUGGUGGGCACUCUAAGGAGACUGCCGGUGACAAACCGGAGGAAGGUGGGGAGUGACGUCAAGUCAUCAUGGCCCUUACGGCCUGGGCUACACACGUGCUACAAUGGUCGGUACAAAGGGUUGCCAAGCCGCGAGGUGGAGCUAAUCCCAUAAAACCGAUCGUAGUCCGGAUCGCAGUCUGCAACUCGACUGCGUGAAGUCGGAAUCGCUAGUAAUCGUGAAUCAGAAUGUCACGGUGAAUACGUUCCCGGGCCUU